AUUUCUCUCAGCCAGAAUUUAAUUGCUCAGAAAACUGAAUUUCAGUAAAGUAGAUGAAAAGUGGUAGGCAGAGAGACUCAGACCUAUGACUGCUGAAGAAAGAGCUAAUUCCAUGUCCCUUUUUCUAGAUGCCCUGUAAUACACUUGUGUCAGUGAUAAAUGCUGCUUUGCUGUGCUACACCGAGUACAAGGUAGUGAUAAGACAUGACUGGGAAGCAGUUACCAGAGACAAGCAAGGAUAGGGCUUUGAAUGCAUCCUCUGCUGGUGGCUUCUGUAGUUAUGCAUAAAAUUUACUCUGACCUGUUUACUUUUAUAGCCUGUCUUUACUUUGUUUCUUUUAAUAUUAUACAUGUUUAGGCUAUGCUUUUUCUUUAAAUAUGUGAGCAAAUCUAUUGGUGUAAUGUACUCAUUACCCUAAAACCUAUAUUAUAAUGGACCCGAAUACCAUAAGGUAGAAGAUCAGAAGAAAAAGAAAAUGCAUACAUUUUUAUCUUUAAAACAAUUCACUUUUAAGAUUAUUUUCUUGAAAGGUAUACGUUUGAUGGAGCUGAAUCUAGUUCCUUCAGGCAGAUAUAAUAGGAUACAAUAGGAUAGGACUUCUUGGGUAAAAAAGGUGUAGUAAUCUGUGAGACUCAUGGGAAGGAGAAAGGAAAUUAUUAAUUAAUUUGGCUGAGGCCAGGGUAGUAAGCAGAUUCAUUAUAAAUUCUGGCAGCAGAGGAAUACUUGAGAAAUGCUUAUAAAGUUAGAUCAUCUAUUUUUCCAAGCAAAUUCUUCAUGUCAUUCCACCUUGUAAAAACUUUGUGGAAAAGAAUAAGCACAUGAAUGAGCAAUGAAUAGACUUUGCAUUAGAUUGGUAAUCUUGCUACUAGUACAUUAAUUUACUUGUAUUACUGAUAUUUUAAGAUAGGAUUUUUACAGAUGUUUAUAUAUUUUUUAAAAGCCUAUUUUUUUCUUUACCCAUUUUCUCAAUUUUUUUAACCUCGAAAACUUUUUCCUCCCUGAGAGAAAUACAUGGGCUAUCUUCAGCAUAGAACACAAACUCUGCCUUCUUUUCUCAAGUCCAGUGAUUCAAGUUUGACACACCACACCACGGUGGAUGUGCCUUGUCAUGACACAUCUCAGCAGCACUAGAAGAUACAUCCAAAGUCCUGUGAGCAAGGUCUGUGGUAUCUGUUUAUUAUGGCAGCCCAGUAAGACUAAGACAGGCCAUCACAAGACGUGAACGUUUUGGACCUUCUCUUGGGCCCUAGUAAACAGAAAUCAGAAGGAAGAAAACUUUGCUAAUGCUCUGCCAAGCCUCACUUUUCUCUCAUGAUUAGAAGGUUUGAUGUUAUCCAGAAUUACUCAUGGAAGAUGGAAGAGCUGCAGCAUUACAAUGAAAGCCAUCUUACAACAGCCUGAGCUAUUUAUUAAACUAAUCCACGUUCUGAACAGUUAUUGCUACUGGAAACCAGUCCCGAUCCAGACCACAAAAGACGAUUCUUGGAUCUUGCACAAGAAAGAAAGGCUACUCCUCACAGUAAAAGAGCACUUGGUGGAAAUUUUGUUCUGAAGUGAAGGCUGAAACCCCAGAGAUCAAACACUGUACUCAAGUUUACAAAGCUGGACUCAGACCCUAACACUGGCUUUAAAAUUUGUCCUAAGUUAGACCAUAAUGCCUCUCUUUCCAGCUGGAUCUACAUGCCUCCACUCUGGCUUUUAACAAGGCUCUGAACUAUUGUCAGAACUUGGGAAUUUCUAACAUUGAAGGUAACACAUUGACACAAUUUCCUCGAUGUAAAAUUGUAUACACUUUAUCCAAGUCCCAUCUGAGCAUGUUAUGUCCUAUUUGUACCCUUACAAAAACUGAUUGGUGGCCAAAUUGAUUUGAGACUGAAAGUUGCCACUUAUGUUCUUAGAAAUACUUGCUUUAAUUCACCAGAAUCAGUUGCUCUGAUACAACUUCUUAUAGUCACCUAAGUCAACAUAGUAAGAAAAUAAACAUAUAAAUGCCCU
rnacentral:lncRNA from 10 species